GAUGAGCUGUAAGUUCUGGAUCUCAGGCAGGGAUGACAAUCAGCUGGCCUUGGCCCUUGGGAGGGGCCCCGGAGAGGGCAAGGCCUGGAGGGGACCGGAUGCCCGGAUGGAACCCUGCAGGUGGGACCCCUACAGCCACACCUCCCGGGCCAGCCCGAGCCGGGAACCAGCCCCUCGUCAUUUUUUUUUUUUUUAAAUAGUGUAUGUUAAUAUGGACUUUAUAUUUUAGGGCAGGUUUAGGGUUACAGAAAAUGGAACACUGUUCCCCUAUACCUCUGUCCCCCCACACACCGAAUUUCUUCUAUAUGAAGUCUCGCAUUGUUGUGAUACAUUCGUUACGAUGGACAUUACAAUGAUAACAUUGACCCAUUAUUUUUUACGUUUUUAAUGUUCGUUUUUGAGAGCGGGGGAGGGGCAGAGAGCGAGGGAGACACAGAGUCCGAAGCAAGCUGUCAGCCCAGAGCCCGAUGCGGGGCUCGAACUCGUGACCACAAGAUCAUGACCCGAGCCGAAGUCGGGACGCUUGGCCGACUGAGCUGUCCAGGCGCCCCUGUUGACACGUUAUCAUGAACUGACACCCAUUUUUGGUGUUGGACACUGUGGGUUUGGAUGAAUGGACGAUGACCGGUUUCUACCAUUGCAGUGACACAGAGUAGUGUCACUGUCCUGCCUAUUCAGCCUCUCCUCUCCCCCAGCCCCCGAUAACUGCGUUUUGUUUUUUUUAACACAGUUCUGCCUUUUCCAGAAUGUCAUGUAGUUGGACCCCUACAGUGUAGGCUUUUCUCGCCGGCGUCUUUCACUUGGUAACACGCAUUUGAGCUUUCUGCGUGGCUUCCCGUGGCUUGAUGGAGCAUUUCUUUUUAGCUGAACACUAUUUCAUUGUGGGGAUCGACCACAGUUAAUGUACCCGUCACCUGCCGAAGGAUGUCGUGGUUGCUCCCAGACCCCUGCCUUUCUGCGGGCGGGCAGUACUCGAACAGUGCCCUCCCUGUCCCCUUGGCCCAUGCCUGCCAGGGGGCCACCCCUCGGAACUACAACGUCUCCAGGCUGUCCUGGGCCCCUGUCACCCUUACCCCGGCCUGGCACCGGGCAGGUCUACUCCAAGGUCUCAGCUAGUGUCAAAUGGCCGCAGGGGUCUUGCCCAAAGAUGGCAGGCCUGGUACCCAGAGGGCAAAUAUGUCAACGCUCUGGCUGGUAGACCCCGGCCACCUCCUCCAGGAAGCCCUGCUCCUCAGAGUUCUGUUGUUAAAGUUUCCCCCCAAAUUCAUGUCCACUCAGAACCUCACAAUGUGACCUUAUUUGUAAAUAGGGUCUCUGUAUAUGUAAUUAGGGACAUAUUUGGAGACGAGGCCAUCCUGCAUUAUAAGUGCCCUGGAUCCAAUGACAAGUGUCCUUAGAAGAAGAGGAGAGACACAGACACAGAGGGAAGCCACAUGAAAAUGGAGGCGGAGCCUGGAGCCCCUAGAAGCUGGAAGAGGCAGGAGGGAGCCUCCCCCUGAGCCCCUCGGGGUGAGGGGCUUGGCCCUGCCCCCCUGGAUCUCUGACUUUGGGUCUCCAGACUGUGAGCGGCUGGAUUUCUGUUCCCUGAGCCACCAGUUUGUGAUAAGGUGAGGCGAAUCAAAAGGAACACCUCUCCUCUGAUUUGUUCACACCAGUGAACUUUUCCAUCAAUAAAAAAGCCCAAUUUGCUCA